UAAAAGAGUGUGUGUAAGACAGAGUGCGUGAAACAGAAGUGUGUGCGUAUGUGUUGGAGUGUGUGUGAAACUGUCUGUAAGCGGGGCUCCUGUGAGCGGUGUGAUUGGUUGAGUGUACGAAAUCUUGUGUGACAACGAAAUAGGAAUGGAUGAGUCCCACUGCAGGGGAGGAGUCCAAGGUGAAGUAGGGAAAUAGAGUAAUACACAGUGAAAAUGGGGGACAGAGGUGAACAGGGGGAAAAGGCUUUUGUAUGGGUAGAUAGAUAUAUAUAUAUAUAUAAGAAAAUAAUAAGGAUAUAAAAAACCUAACUAUACAAGGUAAAUAUCUAUCUGUACACGGAGCAGUGCAGUCGAUAUUACUAAUGGUCAUAAAUAAUUAAAUAAUUAACAGAGUAAAGUGCAAUGACAUCUAUUAUGACAGUGACUAAUGUGAAAUAGAAAUAUAAUAUAAUAUACAUAUGCAUACGUUAUAAGACAGUUCUAAAAUGAAAAUGUGAAAAUGUGAAUACCCAAUCAUGAGUACAGUGUACUUUAAUGUAAGCAAGGUUGGGGAAGUGUUAAUAUAAAUAAUUAAGUUGUUGAAUAAUGUCAGAGAAGGUGUGUGACUGGAUAGAUAAUUAGAGAAUUUAGAGAACUUAAUAAAGGGAUUAUGGGGUUGGUUAGCAAAACAAAUAAAAAAUAAAACACAGA